UGUCGUCUGGCUGGCCGACCAGAACGCCUUGAGAGGUCAGUACAGGCUUGCCAGAGUUAUUGACGUUAACACUGACAAGAAGGGAAUUGUGAGGGAUGUAUAUCUCCGAUCCUUCCCCAGCUACCCAGUCGCAACUGUGAAGCCCACUAAAAGGAUGGAAAAACAUUCGAUCAAGAUACCAGCAACAGUUCUUCACAGGGAUGUCAGACGGAUAGUUGUCUUGCUUCCAGUUGAAGAGCAGCAGCAACAGGAUCAAAAAUAGAGUAACUGAAUCCAACACGUCACAGUUCUGUGUGACCUCCUUGGGUUGAAGAACCAGGAGGUCAAGUGGGAGGUGUUGUGUCAAUUCCUGACUACAAGCUAUACCGAGCACUCAAGCCUAAAUCCACCCAAGGCGCUCAAAGCACUCCCAACCUGCAGGGGGCAACCAUGCAACCGGAGCUGUUGAAACCAACCACCAGGAAGUGCUCUGGGGACCAUAUUAACCUGCGCACCCACAAGCAGUGCAUGUGCAUGGCAUCGAAAUGUUUGGUAAAAGCUUACUUGGCUCUCACUCAUCCCUGAGAAGAGAUACCAAUGACCACAGCUCCUGAUCAUCCAAAGACGCAACUGGUUAUCAACCUAUUCUGUUCCAUCUUUAUGACAAUAAACAAUCAAAGUGAACAGUUUUGAGUUGUCCUUUGCGUUCAUCAAGGAUAAAGCAGUUUUUAAGUUGGGCAGAGCUGUGGUCAGCCAGAAAUCGCACACAACUUGACAAUGGCAGAGACGGUUCAUUGGAUGAUGCGUCAUGCCGGAGACACGGCGACAUCGGGGACGUGACAGCGGCUCCUGGGAGUCCAGCAGCUCGCAGUUCGGGGUCGCACAGCAUCACUGUCUUUCCGUCUCCUCUCUCCGGAGCCCAUCGCCGCAAUGUGACUGAGAAUGUGCCCCGGAUUGGUGACGACCGUGGCGGCAGGCGCAUGACAGCAUCUUCUAACAACAAGGCAGAGGAUGGCCAGAUGCUGGAGGAGAAGAUUGAAAUCUACUGAACAACAUUCCUGACGAUGCCCAAUCACAGUAUCUGUGCCAACUUCUAUCAGUCUAAUGAUGGUGAACUCCAGGGCUUAUAAUUGUUUGACAACUAACUGAGCCAUAAUACUACUGUUUUGAAGCCAACUAGUAGUAGGCCAUGUUAGCAAAUGCAGAUAACAGAGCAAAAUACAUCAUAAACUUAAAAUAAUAAAAUAAAAUAGAAUUUCCACAGUACACACAUAUAGUAAAUCAUGAAAUGAAGAUGAAAUGAAUGCAUUAAAAUCCAUUAGGACAUAAUGAAAUUAAUUCAUAAAUAAUUAAUUAUUAAAAAAUAAUGAAUAAAUAAUACAGAAAAAAAACCAGCAAUGCUUGUUAUUCCAAUACCGAAUGCAUGGACACGAACCUGUCAGCCAGAAACCUACAGAAACCCUCGUGGUUCGUGACAAUGUUAAUGGAAAUGUGACGGGGCGCAUGGCUGCCGUCACGGUAGCGAUGCGCUACCUGUUUUAAUCUCAAAGACUGAGUGAAGAAUGUUGCUUGUACAUGUUUGUUUGACGGUCUAUGUCCGGUUAUUUAUACUGGUUUUAUAUUGUCUGUCAUUUAUCGAAUUCCCUGUAUUAAUCCCGUAGUUUUGUGUACACAUUUUUAACAUCUAUUGCUGCGGUGAUUUACUAUUUGAUAGGCCUAGCUAAAUGUAUUUAUCAUAGUUUAUUGUU